GGGGGCCUGGCGGGAGGGGCGGGGCCACGGGUCCCGGCUUAAGCCUCAGGCGCGUUCUUGGCUUAAGGCGGUGCCCGGCCUGGAGGAGACCGGCGCUGCCCGAGGGCUGUGGGGACCCCGAGGCUGGACUUCAGGGAAGAGGAACCUCGAGCCUCCAACCCCGAAAGUCUAGUCAAUGCCUGGAUGUAUAGAAGACCUCCAAGUAACUCUGAUUACCCUCUGGACUAAGGAACGAACGUUCACAUAUGCAGACCACCUGAUGCCCAGGAUCCAGACCAAUCCGGAGGCUAAGAAUGCAGGACUGGUUCGUCUCAAGCUAGCCACUGUGGCCCAGGGAGACCUCUGAAGGUCGAGGGCUUAGAGUCGCAGCAGCAGCACAUCACAGGUGACUGACUGCAAUGCUUUCUGAACGAUGAGGUUCCCUAUCUUCUCUCACCUCUGUGGCCAAAACCAAAGAGCUCCUUGGUGCUGUUUAAAGAAAUCCAUAUCCUGCUGCUGCAGGAGGACAUAUUGAAAAUUGGGCCACGUGAAAAAAGAUUGGGAGAAUCCAAGAUGGCUGCAGCCUAAACACCUAGCCGCAGCCGCACACAAUAAUUUCAAUAAAAUACAACUAAAAUAUAAAAUGUCCAUUUUAAAAUUA